rnacentral:rRNA from 1 species
UACAGAGGGUGCGAGCGUUAAUCGGAAUUACUGGGCGUAAAGCGCGCGUAGGCGGCUUUGCGAGUCGGGUGUGAAAUCCCCAGGCUCAACCUGGGAACUGCAUUCGAGACUGCAUUGCUAGAGUAUGGGAGAGGGAAGUGGAAUUUCAGGUGUAGCGGUGAAAUGCGUAGAUAUCUGAAGGAACAUCAGUGGCGAAAGCGACUUCCUGGACCAAUACUGACGCUCAUGUGCGAAAGCGUGGGGAGCAAACAGG